rnacentral:rRNA from 1 species
AGGACGAACGCUGGCGGCGUGCUUAACACAUGCAAGUCGAGCGGAAAGGCCCUUCGGGGUACUCGAGCGGCGAACGGGUGAGUAACACGUGAGCAACCUGCCCCUGGCUCUGGGAUAGCCUCCGGAAACGGGGAUUAAUGCCGGACAUUCACUUCCUUCCGCAUGGUUGGUGGUGGAAAGUUUUUCGGCCGGGGAGGGGCUCGCGGUCUAUCAGCUUGUUGGCGGGGUAACGGCCCACCAAGGCGACGACGGAUA